rfam:Botryotinia fuckeliana T4 unplaced genomic scaffold BcT4_SuperSuperContig_P_V3__V4, whole genome shotgun sequence.
UCCCUGCUGGCGCAAUGGUAGCGCGCAAGACUUCUAUCAGAUAUAUCUAUAUCUUUAAGUCCAUCUUGAGGCUGUAGGUUCGAGCCCUACGUAGGGAG